AGAUGUUGGAUAUCUUAAGGGGUAGGUCUAUAUCUUACCUUUUGAUUUGUUUUAUUUUUCAAUCUUCCAUGGCACCUGACUCAACACUUUGCACAGAGAAUGAAAGAUGGAAGAAAUGAAGUAGUGGACAAGCAAACAUCAAUGUGGAGACAGAUUCUCAUUUUCCCCAUUUGGUCUUGGCUGCUUAAGAAAAGGUGAAAAGCAGGAGAAGAUGCUUCCCGGUACUGCAACGUAGGGCAAAGUGGAGCUGACAAAUGGAAAGAAUGUGACCUUGGGAAUGAGAUUCUUGCCUUUUCUGAGGUGCCCCAGCUUUGUCCCUGAAUAUGUGCUUAAUCUGCCAGCCAGGGAUCCAGAAGCACCAUCUCCCUGUCUGCAUUCUGAUCACCCACCUCACUUCCAGGUUCACCCUGCCUUUGUGAGCUGUAACACUCACCGUGAAAGUCUGCAGCUUGACUCUUGAGCCAGUAAGACCAGGAGCCCACCAGAAGGAGGAAACUCCGAACACAUCUGAAUAUCAGAAGGAACAGAACACAUCUGAAUAUCAGAAGGAACAAACUCCGGACACGCUACCUUUAAAAACUGUAAUACUCACCGCGAGGGUCUGCGGUUUCAUUCAUGAAGUCAGUGAGACAAAGAACUCACCAAUUCCGGACACAGUGGGAGCAAAGGCAUGGCAGGAGGAGAGAACUGCGUGUGUGAGGAAUAAAAACAACAUGUUGCAAUUGAGGAAGGCGUGAAUUUAUGGGGAGAAUACAGAGAUGAAGACUUAAAACGAAUGGAAGGCCAAGGAGAUGAAAUGGAAGACUUUGGACAGAACUUCUGGGAAAGCUCUUUAAAGCAGUCUACUAGACUGGCAAGCAGACAUUCAUUCUCCUCUUCUGACUUAGACAUGGUAUUUUUAGCUCCAGCAGCCGUCCUGUGAAGAUGGGAGCACACGCUAAGGGCAGCAGAAAAGAAAGCCAGAAGGAGGUUGGAUAUUGAUAACCACCGUGGUGCCAUCUUACCAGCCCUCGGCCACCUACCCCAGCCUUCCGGUUAUGAGAAAGAAAAACAAAAUUAGCUUAAGCUACUAUUAUGUAGAGGUCUCAAUUCCUAAGAGUUUAAUGCAUUUCCUUAAACACAUAUGCAUGUUGCAGAAUGCCCAGCUGGAAAUUAAACUUUUUAAAAAUUUAUUAAUUUAUUUAGAGAAGGGGAAUCUCACUAUGUUGCCCAGGCUGGCCUCAAACUCCUGGGCUCAAGUGAACCUCCUGCCUCAGCCUCCCGAGUAACUGGGACUACAGGCAUGUACCACCAUGCACGGCUGAAAUUAAACUUUGUGGGUGUUUUUCAGGUCUGGAAAAGGGGUACCAGAAAGUCAACUUGGCUUUUUCACCUGCCUAGUCCAAUCUCUUGAGCCAUCAAAAUAUCUCUCUCCAUCUUCAGUGCUGCUUAAGGUUUCUGGAGACUUACCUGGGUAGCCAAGGCUGGGAGAGUGAGGAAUAGCUCUAUUAUCUGGUAAGGAGAUUUGUAAUCAGCCCCUUCAUGUUUUCAGAAAUCCAGACAGAGCCCUAGAGAGAGACUGGGGAAGGGAAUGCAGUUGGGGCUCUAGAUUCAUGUAUUUGUAGGGAGAUUUCUAAAUAUUGUGUGUCUACUGUAUGCCAGGCAGUGUCUAGGCACUGGGGUGCAGCAAUGAAUGAAAGAUAAGAUCCCUGCCCUCAUGGAGUUUGCACUCUACUGGGGCCUGUGGAAGGAAGCUGAGCUGUGUUACAGAAUCACCCCAGUUGAGGUGACUGUGCAGGUGAAUAUGGAGACAAAAUCUACUCUCUGACCUCAGCCAGUGAGGGUGCUACAGCCUGCCAUAGAGCCCUGCACUCUUUCAGAGAGGGUUUCUCUCCCAGGCCAGCUGUCACUCUAAUCUGCCCUCCCCACUGUGAUCCCAGCUGGACACAUGGCUCACUGGUUUUUCUGUUACUUUGUAAGUGCAGAUAAGAACUCUAUUCCUCACACUUUGGGGACAGAACAGAGUAAGCUGGGGUACACUGAGCUUGGAGAAGGGGAAGUACGGGUCUGGCUAAAUAUUUAUAAAAUCUUGAUUUUUUUUCCUAAGGACAGAAGUCAAAUAGAAUAUAUACACUGAUUACAACCACUUAUUCAUUCAUUCAUUUUAUAAUGAAUAUAGAAUAUGACCAGCAAUGUGCUGGGCACUUGAUCUUAUUCACUUCCACAGAAACCCUGGGAGCAAAGUACUGUUAUCUUCAUUUUACAAACAAGGAGAUCAAUGCUUAGAGAAGUGAAUUAUCUUGAUUGGGUGCUGUAAGAAAUCAAAAUAGAUCUAUCUGAGUCUAAGGCUGCAUUCUUUCUGCUUCAUUAUUCUGCCUCCCCCAUGCCAGUCUGCAACUAAAGACACCGUGUCCUAGAGAAUGUUGCCAGUUUUUUUUUUUUGUUUU